GAUGAGAAGGUCUUGAGGAAAGCCGGAUCCUGAGUCAGAGAGACGCAUACUACUUUGAACAUGCUGGAAAAUGGCUGGAGAGGCCAUGGAUCUUCCAGAUCUGAGACAGAUCUAAAGGAGACCAUGGAAGUCAGGCCUCCAAACUGUGAAUAGCUUAAGUUAGUGAUGAUGGAGUGUGAGCAUAGGCCACCCAUGGCCAGGAUUGCCAUAGAUUCUGGUGAAGAUGAGACGGAGAUCGGUGGAAUAGAAUUAGGGUUUCUGAGGGCUAGAGAGGUU
rnacentral:lncRNA from 1 species